GACGAACCGUGCGAACGUUAUUCGGAAUCACUGGGCUUAAAGCGCGUGUAGGCGGGAGGGCACGUCCGUCGCUGAAAUCCCCCGGCUCAACCGGGGAACGGGCACGGAUACGACCUUCCUGGAGGGGCGUAGGGGGACCUGGAACUUCCGGUGGAGCGGUGAAAUGCGUUGAGAUCGGAAGGAACGCCCGUGGCGAAAGCGGUUCUCUGGGCCUUACCUGACGCUGAGGAGCGAAAGCGUGGGGAGCGAACAGG
rnacentral:rRNA from 1 species